CAAAAGAUAUUGUUUUAAAAAUUAAUACCAAGGGAGGGGACUCGUAUUCUGAAAAGGGAGAUGACUCUUGUUAGUUUUCUAACUACGGUGCCUCAGGAAAAAAAAUGCAUAUCAGUACACUUAUUUUCCAGGAGUAUGUAGGUACAUCAUGAACUUUUAAAAAUAUAAUUUAAAGCUGUUGAAAAUCCAUAAUAAUAUUUAGGAUGCAGUUACCAAAUUUUCAACAGGAGGUGAUUGUUCUCUUAAAGAAAAACCAUCCAGCUUGGAGACUGAAAACAUGCUUAGACAUUUUGUCAGAAUUCUUUAGUUCGAUAGCUACAAAUCAAUUUACCGAUGUUGUAGCUAUACUUAAAAGGGAAGGGUCACCUGCUGCAAAAGUUCAUAAACGUGGAUCUGGUACAAUCAAUUUCAAAUGGUCUGUGUUGGACCUUGCUGUCAUACUACCAAGACACAAAAGAGGACAUUCCAGUCAGCGUAAAAUUUACCGAGAACUACAGCAGUUAUCAAAAUGUAUCAACAUACAAUCCGAAUUAAAGUGCUAUAGAAAAAUUAAAUGCAAUUUUCUUACUGAAGCACAUCAAAAGGCACGAGAACAAAAAUGCCAGGCACUGAUAAAUCGUUUCGAAGGAUACGAUAAGUAGAAGUGUGGUUUCCGAUUUAUCAAAUUUCAGUCUUCAUUCACCUUUGAACUCCCAAAAUGAUCGCAUUUAUCGUGCUGUACAGGUUAAAACAAACAUUUCUGAGAAUGAUCUGCUGGUGGAAAUUGAUAAACAACAGCCAUAACUCAUAUGCUAUGAUGCAGUCUCCUGGUAUGGUAAAACAGAGUUGCGGUUUACUGAAGGAGAUGCUGUUGGGCAAGAACAUCUUCCGUCGUACAGAAGAAAGAAAAA